rnacentral:lncRNA from 10 species
CGCCCGCGCAUGCGCUGUCCAGGGCCGACGCGGUUGUAUCAUGCUGAGAAGGAGCCGGGCGGGGGCCGGCGGGGCUGCGAGGGCCCUGUGAGGAGGGGCACCUGCCACUAGAAGCGGCCUCUGGGACGUCGCGCUGAGCCCUGCUUUGGAGUCAGAGGGGCUUUCCGCCUCGGUGAACUCGAGAGUAGCAACUCUCCUCCGGGUAACCGGAGUGCCACAGCGGGCAGGCGUCAUAAGGACAGGCCUCGGAGAGGAGAGGGGCUACCCGAGAAUGGCCUCAAAAGUAUGCAUAGGAGUUGGGAAGGCAGAGGAACAAGUGUAUUCAGAGACGCAAGGUCGUAGAGGGAAGGAGAGGGAGGGUGCUGGGUGGUCGGGCCGGAUUGUGAGGGUCUUUAAGGCCAGCUGGGGAGUGGAGCCUUUAUCCAGAUGGCGAUGGGAACCAUCUGGGAUUCACACUGAGGAACUGGGAGUCUCAGGAAGCGCCCCGGGCACAGAUGGAAGGUGUGACAGGGCUGUGUGAAGCCAGCUGGGAGGCCACCUCAGUCAGCCCUGGGAGAGUGACCUUGGGGAUGGAAAAGAGGACUUGAUGGUUCUCAGGCCUGGAGCUGUCUCGAUGCGGGGCCGCAGGUUGCCUCUGCAUUACCCUGAGAGCUUUCCAAAUUACUUCCCCGCUCCCUCACAUUUACAGCCGGUUUCUGCCCGCUACUCAGGAUUGUCUGCCGUGGUGGCUUCUCACACAAGCCUGUACUUUCCUGUGGGAGAAUAUUUCCUAGGAGCCUAUAUUCCAGUUCAUCUCUGACGUCAUAAAUCAUGACUGUGUAGAAAGGCCAUAACAUGUGACACAUGGCAGCCAUUUUGGAGAUGGCCAGAUGAGAGGACAAUCAAUCCACAUGCCUAAAUGGAACCAACAGACAUGUGCCAGCUUGCUUCUCCAGCCUAUGUUCUCAGACACUUGUAGAAGACCAGAGGGAAAAUGGAAUCAGAAAAAACAGCAACAACAACAAAAAGCCAUCCAGGGCCAUGCACAGUGGCUCACUCCUGUAAUCCCAACAGUUUGGGAGGCCAAGGCAGGUGGAUUGCUUGAGCUCAGCAGUUUAAGACCAGCCUGGGCAACAUGGCGAAACCCUUUCUCUACUAAAUACAAAAACUAGCUGGGUGUGGUGGCAUGCACCUGUAGUCCCAGCUACUCGGGAGGCUGAGGUGGGAGGAUCACCUGAGCCUGGGAGGUUGAAGCUGCAGUGAGCUGUGAUGGUGCCACUGCACUCCCACCUGGGUGACAGAGCAAGACCCUGUCUCAAAAAAACAAAACUAAACAAAAAAAUCCAUGUGGGAAAAGGCCCAAUCAGAGCCAACUCACUGCUGGGAUUAGUAGAAAUGAUUAGUCACCAGAAGGCAAAUCGUGGAAGAAUGAAGAGAUGACAGGACCUCAGGAACUACACCCAGAGGUGUAGUUGUGCCGUAGGCAAAGCAUCAUGCCGGUCAUCCCCAAGAAAGGGAGAAGGGGUAGAGCUCAGACUCUUCCCUGCUUCCCCAUAAGUCCAGUUUACCCUGGGCUGAUCCUUUCAGCAUGGCAGCCUCCGUGGGGAGGCACGAGAUCCAAAGAUGAAGAUGUCUAUGGGGGUGAAGAAGAAUGGCAAACUUUGCAGGCAAGAGUAGGCAUUAGAGAGAUCAGAGGAGGAAGACAAUAGAGAAGGAUGACACAGGACAGGCUGUAUCUAGAGGAUAUAAUGCCAUGGACUUUGGACUAUUCCAGAGAGGCUGAGAGACCUGUCUCCUGCCUACAAGGCUCCUUGAACUCUGCACCCUUCUUUUUGCUAAAGUGCUGCUGAGGCCUGUCUCACUUCCCAAUGAAAAGCAACUCAGGAAAUUGGCUUCCUGCCCCACUCCUUCUUUGGGAGAGAGAAACAGAACUGAAGAGGAAGGAAGGAAGCCCAAAGAAACAGAGGCUUUCUUUCCUGGCUGAGAUUUGUUGGCACUGCCCACUAACAUAGAGAAUAAGGUGGUUCCCUAAGCGAGCCUUAAGCUGGCAUGAGGCUACAAACAAGUGAUUGUAUCUUCGUUCUGCUCAGCAGCCUACCUGGGCUGGCCUGGACAACCUCAAUUGUAUACUGAGGUCUUAAGCUGGCCAUGGCCCUUGGUAAAGCAGGAGAAAGGAAUAAGGCUGGAAGGUACAGAAUUUGCUUGAUGCCUUGCCUACAUAAUUCCUUUGCUGUUGCAACUGGCAACUCUUUGCUUGCAUUAUAUGAAAAAAAGGCGGUAAAAAAUUGUCAGAAAUGUUUGCCACCAGCCUAACCCCACUGCCCAUGCAUUGCUCCCAAGAAAGCUAAUUAAGGCCCAUUGCUAUUAGAGUUACAUGAUUCUGAAGGCUUGUUAUGACAAGAAAAAAUAAUGAAGACAUGGUUCCUCCAAGUCAUAAGCAUCCAAGUCAAAACAUACUGCAUCCCAGGCGAGUGUGGUGGCUCACGCCUGUAAUCCCAGCACUUCGGGAGGCCAAGGCAGCCGGAUCACGAGGUCAGGAGUUCGAGACCAGCCUUGCCAAGAUGAUGAAACCCCGUCUCUACUAAAAAUACAAAAAUUAGCCAGGCAUGGUGGCGGGCGCCUGUACUCCCAGCUACUCAGGAAGCUGAGGCAGGAGAAUCGCUUGAAACCGGGAGGCGGAGGUUGCAAUGAGCCGAGAUCACACCACUGCACUGUACCCUGGGCGUCAGAGCAAGACUCCAUCUCAAAAAAAAAAGAAAAAAACAUCCUGCAUCCCUUGUUCCUUUGUGUUCCCCUAGACAAGCCUCUGGGCUGGCUUUGCCUAUCUCAUGCAUGCAGGCAGUCAUCCUCCUUUGGCCAGUGCAUACCUGACUCCUACUCAGUGCCAGGCCUGGAGAAGACUGUGAGACCUGCCCUUGAGGAGUUCUGUUUGCAGGAAGAGAGUGAUAGGCACACAAAUUAUUUCCAAUAAACUACAGAAAAUGUCACCAGAAUCUCUAUUGUGAUCAUGUCCCCCACCCAUGUCUGUUUCAUAGAUUGGGGGAGAACAGGCCCGGGUGGAAAGUCAUGCACUUAUGCCCUCUCCUGACCAGCCCACAUGUCCUACCCCAGCCAACAGUGGUUCAGGCAUGACUCUGACUGCUCAUGGGAAAGAGCAGCUUGCUCA